rnacentral:rRNA from 1 species
CCGUGAACUGCGAAUGGCUCAUUAAAUCAGUUAUCGUUUAUUUGAUAAUACCUUACUAUUGGAUAACCGUGGUAAUUCUAGAGCUAAUACAUGCUGAAAAUCCCGACUUCGGAAGGGAUGUGUUUAUUAGAUAAAAAACCAAUGCCCUUCGGGGCUUUUUGGUGAUUCAUGAUAACUUUACGGAUCGCAUAGCCUUGCGCUGGCGACGGUUCAUUCAAAUUUCUGCCCUAUCAACUUUCGAUGGUAAGGUAUUGGCUUACCAUGGUUUCAACGGGUAACGGGGAAUUAGGGUUCGAUUCCGGAGAGGGAGCCUGAGAAACGGCUACCACAUCCAAGGAAGGCAGCAGGCGCGCAAAUUACCCAAUCCCGACACGGGGAGGUAGUGACAAUAAAUACUGAUACAGGGCUCUUUUGGGUCUUGUAAUUGGAAUGAGUACAAUUUAAACCUCUUAACGAGGAACAAUUGGAGGGCAAGUCUGGUGCCAGCAGCCGCGGUAAUUCCAGCUCCAAUAGCGUAUAUUAAAGUUGUUGCAGUUAAAAAGCUCGUAGUUGAAACUUGGGCCUGGCUGGCGGGUCCGCCUCACCGCGUGCACUCGUCCGGCCGGGCCUUCCUUCUGAAGAACCUCAUGCCCUUCACUGAGCGAGCUGGGGAAUCAGGACUUUUACUUUGAAACAAAUUAGAGUGCUCAAAGCAGGCCUUUGCUCGAAUACGUUAGCAUGGAAUAAUAAAAUAGGGCGUGCGUUUCUAUUUUGUUGGUUUCUAGAGACGCCGCAAUGAUUAACAGGAACAGUCGGGGGCAUCAGUAUUCAGUUGUCAGAGGUGAAAUUCUUGGAUUUACUGAAGACUAACUACUGCGAAAGCAUUUGCCAAGGAUGUUUUCAUUAAUCAGUGAACGAAAGUUAGGGGAUCGAAGACGAUCAGAUACCGUCGUAGUCUUAACCGUAAACUAUGCCGACUAGGGAUCGGGCGAUGUUCUUUUUCUGACUCGCUCGGCACCUUACGAGAAAUCAAAGUUUUUGGGUUCUGGGGGGAUUAUGGUCGCAAGGCUGAAACUUAAAGAAAUUGACGGAAGGUCACCACUUGGUGUGGAGCCUGCGGCUUAAUUUGACUCAACACGGGGAAACUCACCAGGUCCAGAUGAAAUAAGGAUUGACUGAUUGAGAGCUCUUUCUUGAUUUUUCAGGUGGUGGUGCAUGGCCGUUCUUAGUUCGUGGGGUGACUUGUCUGCUUAAUUGCGAUAACGAGCGAGACCUUACUCUGCUAAAUAGCCAGGCUAACUUUGGUUGGUCGCCGGCUUCUUAGAGAGACUAUCAACUCAAGUUGAUGGAAGUUUGAGGCAAUAACAGGUCUGUGAUGCCCUUAGAUGUUCUGGGCCGCACGCGCGCUACACUGACAGAGCCAACGAGUUCUUUUCCUUGUU